GGUGGAGGAACUAUUUCUUGACGUAAUCUGUCUCUGUCGGCCCCGACGCUCCCGCAGUCUCUGAGUGAGCCAAGAUCAGCGAUUGUCAGUUCAGAACGUGGCUUUUAAAAAUGCGUUUUUAAAUACUGUGUUGAAGAAGUGGAGGAGAGAUCGACAGAACUUAACUGGGGCAUCCCCAUCCGGUCUGCCUGCUCACCCUUCUCUGCCCCCCAUGUCCAUUUCUGCGACACUCUUCCCCCCCAAAAAAGAAGUCUCUCGGAGGUUCUGUCUGCAGAGAGCCAGGGUGAGAGCAGACAAGGCGAAAGAGCGACCUCGGUCGUGGGCAAGUAGCUUGUUUUUACAUCCUUCAAUAAAAUUUUUAUGAGGAUCA